GUUUGAUCAUGGCUCAGGAUGAACGCUGGCGGCGUGCCUAACACAUGCAAGUCGAACGAAGAGGCCCCUUCGGGGGUACUUCAGUGGCGGACGGGUGAGUAACACGUAGGUGACCUGCCCCGAAGUGUGGAAUAACAGUCCGAAAGGAUUGCUAAUACCGCAUGUGGUCUGCGAGGUUAGAGUCUGGCAGACUAAAGCCUACCCGCAAGGGUAAUGUGCUUCGGGAGGGGCCUGCGCCCCAUCAGCUAGUUGGUAGGGUAAUGGCCUACCAAGGCAACAACGGGUAGGGGGCCUGAGAGGGUGACCCCCCACAUUGGCACUGACACACGGGCCAAACUCCUACGGGAGGCAGCAGUGAGGAAUAUUGCUCAAUGGGCGAAAGCCUGAAGCAGCAACGCCGCGUGCGCGAUGAAGGCCUUCGGGUCGUAAAGCGCUUUUGAGAGGGACGAGAUAGGACGGUACCUCUGGAAUAAGUCACGGCUAACUACGUGCCAGCAGCCGCGGUAAAACGUAGGUGGCAAGCGUUAUCCGGAUUCAUUGGGCGUAAAGCGCGUGCAGGUGGCUUCGUAAGUUGGACGUUAAAUCUCCCGGCCUAACCGGGAGGAGUCGUUCAAUACUGCGGGGCUGGAGGGCAGAAGAGGGGGGUGGAAUUGCUGGUGUAGUGGUGAAAUGCGUAGAUAUCAGCAGGAACACCCGUGGCGAAAGCGGCCCCCUGGUCUGCUCCUGACACUCAGACGCGAAAGCUAGGGGAGUGAACGGGAUUAGAAACCCCGGUAAUCCUAGCCGUAAACGAUGGAUGCUAGGUGUGGGUGGUAUUGACCCCAUCCGUGCCGAAGCUAACGCGUUAAGCAUCCCGCCUGGGGACUACGGCCGCAAGGUU
rnacentral:rRNA from 1 species